AUAUACAUAGUAUAAUAAAAAUUACAUUUAAUUUCCAAUUAAAAAAUUUAAUAAUAUUAAUGUAUAUA
rnacentral:tRNA from 1 species